UGCCACAAAAGACCUUUAAUGGCCUCCUAUUUAUUGUUCUUUUGUUCAUUUGUUAGAGUUGAAUGAACUAUAAUAACUUGUCUGACAUAAUAAGAAUGCCACAGGUAUAACAGAUAAACCUGGCAGGUGGUCCAGGAAUGAGAGUGUCACAAAAUAAUCACUCAACACAAGGGCCACACACCUGGAGAUUCUUCCCAGCCAUCCCUCACUCCUGCCCCAGGACACAACCCAUGCAGGCAGGGUUUUGUGCCAAGGGCUGGUCCAGGUCUCACUAAAGUGUCCAGGAUUCCUGGGGGAAUCCUGCCCUCAAAGGAGGGACUUUUGUCAUAAAAUCCUCCCUGAGUCUGUCUUUUAUAUGAGCCAAGAUUUCCAUCCAUCCGGCUCUGUGUAAAGAUGAAUUUAACCCUAGCCUCUCUCUCCAUCACACUGCUUCUCCUGCUGUGUCCCUUGGGCCUAGGCCAGGAAAGUGGGGUGCCAGAUAGGGGUGCAGACACAAGUCCUCAGUGG
rnacentral:antisense_RNA from 1 species